AUGGUUAGAUGGACUGUGAUAUCCUCAACCCACCAGGGUUUAAAUCCUGGUGCUCGAAUUUAUUUCUGGAUUUAUUUCAGGGUUCAAAAAAGAAAAUAUGGGCCGAAGGAAGUAUUUUCCUCUAUAGUUAUUGGCAUAUAUGUUCCACUUGAUUAUACUUUCAAAAUAUUUAUACAUGUGCCUUUCUGUGUGCUUUUUUUCCUUUGCAGCACACUUGUCGUUCUCUUUUCCUUGGCUCUCUAUGUCCUUUGGGAUGCUUCAUACACCAUAACACUUUUCAUCAUUGUUGAUAUGAUAAAUAAUAGGGACAAUCUUUCAUGGCUGUCAUGUAUCAACUCUCAUCAUGGCGGCCACCGCUCUCAACUCUCAUUGUUAAGUCUUUAUUAA
rnacentral:rRNA from 1 species